AUUGAACGCUGGCGGCAGGCCUAACACAUGCAAGUCGAGCGGAUGAAGGGAGCUUGCUCCUGGAUUCAGCGGCGGACGGGUGAGUAAUGCCUAGGAAUCUGCCUGGUAGUGGGGGAUAACGUCCGGAAACGGGCGCUAAUACCGCAUACGUCCUGAGGGAGAAAGUGGGGGAUCUUCGGAUCUCACGCUAUCAGAUGAGCCUAGGUCGGAUUAGCUAGUUGGUGGGGUAAAGGCCUACCAAGGCGACGAUCCGUAACUGGUCUGAGAGGAUGAUCAGUCACACUGGAACUGAGACACGGUCCAGUCUCCUACGGGAGGCAGCAGUGGGGAAUAUUGGACAGUGGGCGAAAGCCUGAUCCAGCCAUGCCGCGUGUGCGAAGAAGGUCUUCGGAUUGUAAAGCACUUUAAGUUGGGAGGAAGGGCAGUAAGUUAAUACCUUGCUGUUUUGACGUUACCAACAGAAUAAGCACCGGCUAACUUCGUG
rnacentral:rRNA from 1 species